CACGCCACGAGGGCCGAACUUGCUGCUGAGGUACCUCGGCUCCAGGACUUCAGAGCGUCCAGACCGUCGGUGGGACCACAUUAUGGACUGCCAGGCCUUAUUCAGCUUGGGGCAGCAGCUCCUGCGGCGGAAAGUGGUGGACGGCAGCCAGGACGAGAGCAAGCUGUCCCGCUGCCUCAACACGUUCGAUCUGGUGGCGCUGGGCGUGGGCAGCACACUGGGCGCCGGGGUCUACGUGCUGGCCGGCGCCGUGGCCCGAGAAGACGCCGGCCCGGCCAUCGUCCUGUCCUUCCUGAUCGCCGCGCUGGCCUCGGUGCUGGCCGGCCUGUGCUACGGGGAGUUCGGGGCCAGGGUCCCCAAGACGGGCUCCGCCUACCUCUACAGCUACGUCACCGUGGGCGAGCUCUGGGCCUUCAUCACCGGCUGGAAUUUAAUCCUCUCCUACAUCAUCGGCACCUCGAGCGUGGCCCGGGCCUGGAGCGCCACUUUCGACGAGCUCAUCAACAAACAGAUCAGCAACUUCUCCCGGAUGCACAUGUCCCUGAACGCUCCCGGGAUCCUGGCCGAGUACCCGGACAUCUUCUCCGUACUCAUCAUCCUCGUCUUGACAGGUCUGCUCACCUUCGGGGUGAAGGAAUCGGCCAUGGUGAACAAAGUCUUCACGUGUGUCAACGUCCUGGUGCUGUGCUUCGUCAUGGUGUCGGGCUUCGUGAAAGGCUCCAUCAGAAACUGGCAGCUCACCGAGGAGGACUUGUGGAACAUUACCAAGCAAAUGCCCACGUACAACAAGACGUCUGAAGGAGGCCGGCCCUAUGGAACUGGCGGAUUUAUGCCCUUUGGGUUCUCUGGAGUCCUGUCGGGGGCCGCCACCUGCUUCUACGCCUUCGUGGGCUUUGACUGCAUCGCCACCACAGGGGAGGAAGUGAAGAACCCCCAGAAGGCCAUCCCCGUGGGCAUCGUGGCAUCGCUCCUCAUUUGCUUUGUGGCAUACUUCGGGGUCUCCGCCGCCCUCACCCUCAUGAUGCCCUACUGCCUCCUGGACAUCGACAGCCCCUUGCCCGUGGCCUUCAAGCACGUGGGCUGGGAUGGGGCGAAGUACGCCGUGGCCGUUGGGUCUCUCUGCGCCCUGUCCACCAGCCUCCUGGGUUCCAUGUUCCCCAUGCCGCGGGUCAUCUACGCCAUGGCCGAGGACGGGCUCCUCUUCAAGUUUCUAGCCAAGAUCAGUAAACGGACCAAAACCCCCGUCAUCGCAACGCUAACGUCGGGAGCCAUUGCCGCCAUCAUGGCCUUUCUCUUCGACCUGAAGGACCUGGUGGAUCUCAUGUCGAUCGGCACACUGCUGGCUUACUCCCUGGUGGCUGCCUGCGUGCUGGUUUUGAGGUACCAGCCCGAGCAGCCCAGCUUGGCGUACCAGAUGGCCAGAACCAGCGACGACACCGAGGCCACGGAGCAGAGCGAGCCGAUGAGCACCAGCGACUCGCAGGUGAGGUUCUUGCCGGGCGGAGGCAAGGACGAGGACGAGGGCGAGAGGUGCUCCCUCGGGGCCGUUCUCUUUCCGAAGAAGCAGGAGCCUUCCAAGCUUUCGGGGUUCAUCGUCAACAUCUCCACCAGCCUCAUAGGGGUUCUCAUCGCCACGUUCUGCAGCGUGGCCGUCCUGGGGAAGGCCUCCCUGCUGGCGGGGGAGCCGUGGGCGGUCGUCGUCCUCGUGCUGUCCGCCCUGCUCUGCGCCGCCGUCACCGCCGUCAUCUGGAGGCAGCCGGAAAGCAAGACCAAACUCUCCUUCAAGGUGCCCUUCCUGCCGGUGCUGCCCGUCCUGAGUAUUUUUGUGAACGUCUACCUCAUGAUGCAGCUCAACCAAAACACCUGGGUGCGGUUUGCCGUCUGGAUGCUUCUGGGGUUCAUGAUCUAUUUCGGGUACGGCGUAUGGCACAGUGAGGUGGCGUCGCUGGCGGCAGAAGACUCGGCCAAGACGCCCGACAACCCCUCGGAUUCCUGCAAAUGAGCCCGCCUCUGCGCUGCCCAGCGGUCAGCCCUUCUGUGGCCGUGGGGACCCGGGAAGGCCCGAACUCUCCAGGGGAAGGACCCCCCCCCGAGCGGCGCCCCCGGCUCCCCCAUAGACACACCGGGCACGCAACACCUGUCGUGGCGUCCCCCCGUCUCCCCCACUCCUUGCCAACGCCGAGCAGGCGCCUGGUGGGCCAACGCCAACUGCCCGCUGCGCCCUGUUGGGGACAGCUGGCUGCUGCUGCUGUUGCUGCUGUCUUCGACCUUCCCCUGGGCACCCCGUCCCUGCGCCAGCUCCCCCGUCGGUGCCACCAGGACCUCAGGCAGACCAGUGGACGCCCAGCUCCUCCCGUCACCCCACUCCCUGGACCGAUCGCAUCGGGAGAGCCGCAGGCCGCCCACCCUGUUGGCCUCUUGGUCCGCGGGAGGCAAGAUUGGCCUCCCCCUCCCACGGCAGAGACGUGAACUCUGCCCUUUCUGCGGCCGCGGGGCUCCCGCGUCCCCCCACCCAAAGCGGUCUGUGCCUCUCCACGGGGAAGGGCGGCGCACCGAGGUGCCGCCGGAAAGCUGCGGAUGAUCCAAAUGUUUAGCCUUAACCGUUCUUUUCAGCCUCUUUGCCAGUCGGAUUUUUCUAGCGGAAUCAACUCGUUUAGGAUUUGUCUUCUCCCUGUCCCUGAAAUCCCUUCCUCCGCCCCGCGCCCCGGAGAAGGGGCUGAUGCCGAGGAAGGGCUGGGAGGACGAAGGAUGUUGGAGGAGGAGGGACGUCGAGGGGGGACCAGCCGGAUGACCGGGUAACGAGGUUCAAGAACCAAACUGCACCUCUCUUCCCUGUGGUUGCGACGGCUAGUGGACUUCCCGGGCCUGGGGCCGAGGCCGCGGAGGGGAGGCGAGUCUCCUGGCCGGACGCCAGCCGAGUUUGGCCGAGGGGAACAGCUCUCUGCCUUGGCCCCCAGGAGGCAGGGCUAGCGAGAAGCGGACGGGCCCUCGGUUUCCCAAAAUGACGCGAAGGAAUUCCUUCCCGGCCAGGGGCGGGCCUGCGAUGUGCGUUGUGAGUUCCUGGUUUAAGUCGAGCGGGCGGCCGGUGACCACCCGAAGUGGGCCGGCGCCGGCUUCUCCAGUACCGUUUUCCCCUAGCGAGAGAGAGAAGCCGUGCGAGAGUCUGCUCUCCAAUUCCGUCAAAUGUAUAUAUUGCGUUGCUUGUCUGAUGUUCUAUUUUUCUAAUGCGUUGUGAGGAUUUCCUAGAACGGCGAUCAAAGGUUGAAUUCUAAUGUUAAUGGAAAGUUCCACUGAGGUCAGCUGCCCUUUCGUUUCUCCUCGUCUUUUUUUGUUUCCUCUUCCCAUCUGCCGGGCCUGUGGAUUUGUCGGUCGCGAUAGCGUUGCCAUUGUCCUGUCCCCCCCGUGACUGACCCUUCUCCCCCUCUGUACGCGCCGUUUCUCCGUGGAGCUGCCCUUCGGGGGCUCCGUGGCGGAGAACGCUUCCCCUGAAGCCUAAUAAAUCACGUCCAUGGU